rnacentral:tRNA from 1 species
GCAGUAAGAUGCGCCCCAAUUCGGCGAGUAGCGCAGCUUGGUAGCGCAACUGGUUUGGGACCAGUGGGUCGGAG